rnacentral:rRNA from 1 species
UACGGAAGGUCCCGGCGUUAUCCGGAUUUAUUGGGUUUAAAGGGAGCGUAGGCCGUGGAUUAAGCGUGUUGUGAAAUGUAUACGCUCAACGUCUGACUUGCAGCGCGAACUGGUUCACUUGAGUGUGCGCAACGCAGGCGGAAUUCGUGGUGUAGCGGUGAAAUGCUUAGAUAUCACGAAGAACUCCGAUUGCGAAGGCAGCUUGCGGGAGCACAACUGACGCUGAAGCUCGAAAGUGCGGGUAUCAAACAGG